CACGUAGGGUGCGAGCGUUGUCCGGAAUUAUUGGGCGUAAAGAGCUCGUAGGCGGUGUGUCGCGUCGGCCGUGAAAACCUGCAGCUUAACUGUGGGCUUGCGGUCGAUACGGGCAUCACUGGAGUUCGGCAGGGGAGACUGGAAUUCCUGGUGUAGCGGUGAAAUGCGCAGAUAUCAGGAGGAACACCGGUGGCGAAGGCGGGUCUCUGGGACGGUAC
rnacentral:rRNA from 1 species